rnacentral:rRNA from 1 species
GUGGGGAAUCUUGCACAAUGGAGGAAACUCUGAUGCAGCGAUGCCGCGUGAGUGAAGAAGGCCUUUGGGUUGUAAAGCUCUUUUGUAGGGGAAGAUAAUGACUGUACCCUAAGAAUAAGGUCCGGCUAACUUCGUGCCAGCAGGCCGCGGUAAUACGAAGGGACCUAGCGUAGUUCGGAAUUACUGGGCGUAAAGCGCGCGUAGGCCGUUGAGUUAGUUAAUUGUGAAAUCCCAAAGCUUAACUUUGGAACUGCAAUUAAAACUGCUCGACUAGAGUUUGAUAGAGGAAAGCGGAAUACAUAGUGUAGAGGUGAAAUUCGUAGAUAUUAUGUAGAACACCAGUUGCGAAGGCGGCUUUCUGGAUCAACACUGACGCUGAGGCGCGAAAGUAUGGGUAGCAAAGAGGAUUAGAUACCC